GGAUAACACUUAGAAAUAGGUGCUAAUACCGCAUAAGCGCACAGCUUCGCAUGAAGCAGUGUGAAAAACUCCGGUGGUAUACGAUGGAUCCGCGUCUGAUUAGCUGGUUGGCGGGGUAAAGGCCCACCAAGGCGACGAUCAGUAGCCGGCCUGAGAGGGUGAACGGCCACAUUGGGACUGAGACACGGCCCAAACUCCUACGGGAGGCAGCAGUGGGGAAUAUUGCACAAUGGGGGAAACCCUGAUGCAGCGACGCCGCGUGAGUGAAGAAGUAUUUCGGUACGUAAAGCUCUAUCAGCAGGGAAGAAAAUGACGGUACCUGACUAAGAAGCCCCGGCUAACUACGUGCCAGCAGCCGCGGUAAUACGUAGGGGGCAAGCGUUAUCCGGAUUUACUGGGUGUAAAGGGAGCGUAGACGGCAGCGCAAGUCUGGAGUGAAAUCCCAUGGCUUAACCAUGGAACUGCUUUGGAAACUGUGCAGCUGGAGUGCAGGAGAGGUAAGCGGAAUUCCUAGUGUAGCGGUGAAAUGCGUAGAUAUUAGGAGGAACACCAGUGGCGAAGGCGGCUUACUGGACUGUAACUGACGUUGAGGCUCGAAAGCGUGGGGAGCAAACAGGAUUAGAUACCCUGGUAGUCCACGCUGUAAACG
rnacentral:rRNA from 1 species